AAAAUUGUUUUUAAUUGUUUAGUCCCCAAAAUCUCAAGGCAUGCCACUGCUGCAGCUUCACCCGGACGUACCUGAAGAGGAUAUUGAGUUCUCCGACUACGAUUUGAAGUUCGUCGAAGAGAACACUGAUUACGCCCCUAUUCGUCACUCGUAUUGACACCACUGCUAUUAACAGGCAAUGCGUUGGUGAACAAACGACAGUGGAGGACAGGUAUGAGGAAGAGAAAGGGAGUAGUAACGAGAUCCAAGUGGAUCCUGUUGAUGUGCUCCCUGUCAAGACUUAAGAUGGCAAACUCCACCAGCGAACUCUGACAAAGACGUCAAAACUAGCUAAGGGGGAUACUGAUGAAGCAGAAGAGGAUGUUAUUGAAGAUGAAAAUAUAUUGAACAAAUCUCAGAGGAGAGCAAAAGCUAAAAAGAGGCGAAAAAACAAGAGAAGGAAUUGCCUAAAGAGGAGGAA